UACGGGAGGCAGCAGUGGGGAAUAUUGCACAAUGGGCGAAAGCCUGAUGCAGCUAUGCCGCGUGUAUGAAGAAGGCCUUAGGGUUGUAAAGUACUUUUCAUCGGGGAGGAAAAACAAAACUAAUAAUUUUAUUUCUUGACGUUACCCGAAAAAGAAGCACCGGCUAACUCCGUGCCAGCAGCCGCGGUAAUACGGAGGGUGCUAGCGUUAAUCAGAAUUACUGGGCGUAAAGAGCACGUAGGUGGUUUUUUUAAGUCAGAUGUGAAAUCCCUGGGCUUAACCUAGGAACUGCAUUUUGAAACUGAAAUACUAGAGUAUCGUAGAGGGAGGUAGAAUUCUAGGUGUAGCGGUGAAAUGCGUAGAUAUCUGGAGGAAUACCUGUGGCGAAAGCGGCCUCCUAAACGAAUACUGACACUGAGGGUGCGAAAGCGUGGGGAGCAAACAGGGAUUAGAUACC
rnacentral:rRNA from 1 species